GAUGAACGCUGGCGGCGUGCCUAAUACAUGCAAGUCGAGCGAACAGACGAGGAGCUUGCUCCUUUGACGUUAGCGGCGGACGGGUGAGUAACACGUGGAUAACCUACCUAUAAGACUGGGAUAACUUCGGGAAACCGGAGCUAAUACCGGAUAACAUGUUGAACCGCAUGGUUCAACAGUGAAAGACGGUCUUGCUGUCACUUAUAGAUGGAUCCGCGCCGCAUUAGCUAGUUGGUAAGGUAACGGCUUACCAAGGCAACGAUGCGUAGCCGACCUGAGAGGGUGAUCGGCCACACUGGAACUGAGACACGGUCCAGACUCCUACGGGAGGCAGCAGUAGGGAAACUUCCGCAAUGGGCGAAAGCCUGACGGAGCAACGCCGCGUGAGUGAAGAAGGUCUUCGGAUCGUAAAACUCUGUUAUUAGGGAAGAACAAAUGUGUAAGUAACUAUGCACGUCUUGACGGUACCUAAUCAGAAAGCCACGGCUAACUACGUG
rnacentral:rRNA from 1 species